UUUGAAGGAAGCUUCAGGUCUUCUAGGGCCUCAGAUGUUUUUCAGUAUUUAGCAUCUCAUUGAAGUCUCCAAUAAGUCACCAAAGUUACUUUCUAGAACAACAAAAUCUGCUUAACCUUUCUGACACCACAUUUCGCCCCUCUGAUCAAGGAACAUCAUAUAUACAAGAGAGAAAACACGCCAUAUUGAACGAAAGUCAAUGGUUUUUUAUCUGAGUACUUGAUAUUUAUAUUUAUGUUUUUUCCCCAAAGUAGAGCUAACCCUCCACUCAAUCCAACUGGAUUGACGGUAAAGACUCUCUCAGACCCUAGUUAAACUUGUAAAUCUACCAACAUAUUACGACCGCUUUUGGUUUUUAUUAAAAGAAAAUAUCCAGAAAAUUGUGUUGAUGCAUUUCCCGAAGAUGUUGAAUUGUCAAGUCUUGAGGACUCCCCAAGCCUUGAAAAUUCCAGCUCAUGAUUCUCAUUGGGAGGGGCAAUCCCUCAUUUAGGACCACCUUAAGGCACUGCACCUUGUUCAUGGAAAUUUCCUUCACGUCUUGACCUCCAUUCUUCCUUUUUUUUGAACAAACUUCCUGUUU
rnacentral:lncRNA from 1 species